rnacentral:tRNA from 1 species
CUGCCCGUAGGCGAAGCCGUCGACGCCGGUGCCGGUGAAGUUGAGCUCGAUGGGCUCGUCCAGUUCGAGACCGGCGGGCACC